CUCUAUUUGUCUCAAAAGCCAUUUUGGUUAGACCCAAAGGUCUCAAAACUCAUCUGUAUAUAUUUAUUAUUUUCACCGUUGCUUCCGCCUUUCGCCCUUGUCCGGAUUCCUUUUGGAUUGAGUCUGCUAGGGGAUGAACCAAUUUCCAUGGCAAUUAAUUAAACUCAUGAGUCAAACAGAUCCACUGGUGACUUCUACGACACCACCACUACACCAAAUUGCAAUGGGAGCUACAGCAGGAUGAAGGUUAUAAUGCCAUUAGUCUAAACCGAUCAAGGAAUUACCCGACCACAGCACUUAUUUUUUCUAUUUCCCUCUUUGUAUGACACGAAAUAGGCCACUAUCCCCAGGUUGUGCCCACUAAAUAUCAUAGCCAAACAGUAUCUGUCUGCUUUAUUUGCAGCUGAUUUUUCUCUUUUUCCCUUCUUUUUUUUUUUCUUUUUUUUUGUUGUAAAUCCUCUUUUCUAUGUUGCUCCUGUUAUUGAAGGAGUUUUGAUUGAUACUAAUGAAAAGCACAGCUUGGCCCAUUUCGAGAAAA